rnacentral:rRNA from 1 species
GAUGAACGUUGGCGGCGUGCCUAAUACAUGCAAGUCGAACGAAGACUGUAGUAAUACUGUCUUAGUGGCGAACGGGUGAGUAACGCGUGGGUGACCUGCCCCGAAGUGUGGGAUAACAGUCCGAAAGGAUUGCUAAUACUGCAUAAUAUCCAAGAGAUUAGAUGCUUUUGGAUUAAAGGAGUAAUUCGCUUCGGGAGGGGCCCGCGUCCCAUCAGCUAGUUGGUAAGGUAAUGGCUUACCAAGGCGAUGACGGGUAGGGGACCUGAGAGGGUGGCCCCCCAAAUGGAACUGAAACACGGUCCAUACACCUACGGGUGGCAGCAGUAGGGAAUAUUAGUAAUGGGCGAAAGCCUGAACUAGCAACGCCGCGUGUGCGAAGAAGGCCUUCGGGUCGUAAAGCACUUUUUGAGAGGAUGAGGAAGGACGGUACUCUCAGAAUAAGUCUCGGCUAACUACGUGCCAGCAGCCGCGGUAAUCAACGAGAGUA